rnacentral:rRNA from 1 species
AGAGUUUGAUCAUGGCUCAGGAUGAACGCUAGCGGCAGGCUUAACACAUGCAAGUCGAGGGGUAUAGUUCUUCGGAACUAGAGACCGGCGCACGGGUGCGUAACGCGUAUGCAAUCUACCUUUCACAGAGGGAUAGCCCAGAGAAAUUUGGAUUAAUACCUCAUAGUAUUAUAGAGUGGCAUCACUUUAUAAUUAAAGUCACAACGGUGAAAGAUGAGCAUGCGUCCCAUUAGCUAGUUGGUAAGGUAACGGCUUACCAAGGCAACGAUGGGUAGGGGUCCUGAGAGGGAGAUCCCCCACACUGGUACUGAGACACGGACCAGACUCCUACGGGAGGCAGCAGUGAGGAAUAUUGGACAAUGGGCGCAAGCCUGAUCCAGCCAUGCCGCGUGCAGGAUGACGGUCCUAUGGAUUGUAAACUGCUUUUGUACAGGAAGAAACACUGGUUCGUGAACCAGCUUGACGGUACUGUAAGAAUAAGGAUCGGCUAACUCCGUGCCAGCAGCCGCGGUAAUACGGAGGAUCCAAGCGUUAUCCGGAAUCAUUGGGUUUAAAGGGUCCGUAGGCGGUUUAGUAAGUCAGUGGUGAAAGCCCAUCGCUCAACGGUGGAACGGCCAUUGAUACUGCUAAACUUGAAUUAUUAGGAAGUAACUAGAAUAUGCAGUGUAGCGGUGAAAUGCUUAGAGAUUACAUGGAAUACCAAUUGCGAAGGCAGGUUACUACUAAUGGAUUGACGCUGAUGGACGAAAGCGUGGGUAGCGAACAGGAUUAGAUACCCUGGUAGUCC